rnacentral:rRNA from 1 species
UAGCCUUGACAUUGAUAGAAUACACCAGAGAUGGAGUAGUGCCUUUCGGGGAACUUGAAAACAGGUGCUGCACGGCUGUCGUCAGCUCGUGUCGUGAGAUGUUGGGUUAAGUCCCGCAACGAGCGCAACCCUCGUCCUUAGUUGCCAGCAGGUUAAGCUGGGCACUCUAAGGAGACUGCCUUCGUAAGGAGGAGGAAGGUGAGGACGACGUCAAGUCAUCAUGGCCCUUAUGGCUAGGGCUACACACGUGCUACAAUGGGGCGUACAGAGUGUUGCGAUACCGCGAGGUGGAGCUAAUCACUUAAAGCGUCUCUCAGUUCGGAUAGCAGUCUGCAACUCGACUGCUUGAAGCUGGAAUCACUAG